rnacentral:rRNA from 1 species
GACGAACGCUGGCGGCGGGCUUAACACAUGCAAGUCGAACGGAAAGGCCCUGCUUUUGUGUGGUGCUCGAGUGGCGAACGGGUGAGUUACACGUGAGUAACCUGCCCUUGGCUUUGGGAUAACUUCAGGAAACUGUUACUAAUACCGGAUAGGAGCUCCAGCUUCAUGGGGGUGGUUGGAAAGUUUCGGCGGUUGGGGAUAUACGCGCGGGUUAUCAGCUUGUUGGUGGGGUAGUGGCUUACCAAGGCUUUGACGGCUAGCCGGCCUGAGAGGGUGACCGGCGUCAUUGGGACUGCGAUAAGGCCCAGACUAGAAGCGGAGGCAGAAGUGGGGAUUAUUAGCCAAUGACGGGAAGCCUGAUGAAGAGACGUUGCGUGUGGGAAGAAGGCCAUAGGGUUAUAAAACGCUUUCACCUAUGACGAAGCGUGUGUGACGGUAAUGGGAAAAGAAGCACCGGCUAACUACGUG